rnacentral:rRNA from 1 species
UACGGGGGGGGCAAGCGUUGUUCGGAAUUACUGGGCGUAAAGGGCUCGUAGGCGGCCAACUAAGUCAGACGUGAAAUCCCUCGGCUUAACCGGGGAACUGCGUCUGAUACUGGAUGGCUUGAGUUUGGGAGAGGGAUGCGGAAUUCCAGGUGUAGCGGUGAAAUGCGUAGAUAUCUGGAGGAACACCGGUGGCGAAGGGCGGC